rnacentral:rRNA from 1 species
ACCUAAGAGAUUUGGCGGUACUCGUUACCUUUUAGAGAAACUUGUUUCAGGAGAUCGAUAACCCCCGAAAUAUCUUACCUUUAGUAGUUUUAUUUUAGUUUGUAUACCUUCAUGUAUAUAAUUUUUAUAAAAUAAAAAUUAUUUGAAUAAUUUGUUUAAUAAUAAUAUAUUAGAUCAAGGUGCAGCUUAUAUAAAGGGUGGAAUGAGUUGCAAUGUGAUAUCACGUGUUUAGAUAAGGAGAAAACCUGAAAAAUCCUUUGAAAAAGGAUUUAAUUGUAAUUAAAUUUUAAUAAGUUUUAUUGAUAAAGGUUCUGGAGUAUGU